ensembl:lncRNA
GCGGUGCGAAGCCCCCGGGGCAGCUCAGCGCGGCUCCCGCUGCUGCCAUCGCCCUCAGCCUGGCUGCGAAGGGCAGCCCGGGCCGCCGGCGGGUCCCGCUUCUCCCUCCCAGAGCUAUCGAUAGUUGUAAGCGUUUUUGAAAUCACCGCAAACAUCUGGAAGGUAUGAGUGUACCGGAUUUGUUUUCAGCCGCAAAGCAGACCCCAAUCCCAAACCCUCCAAUUCUGCUUCAUCCACGCGCUCUUUGAUACACCCAUGGGACAGGAGACAGAGUUUACUGUGUGGGAUGCACCACAUGACCUCCUUCCUCUGAAGUGAUCAAAUGCAAAAUGAAGAUGUACAGUGCUGCCAGAACGAGACCAGCAAUUUUUCGAAAGACAUAAACAAACUUUGAAAAUAUUUUUAAAACAAAGAUGGUAAAUCUUCUAUUUUGCAAUGCACAGAAGAUGCACAUUAGGUCAAGGUGCAC